rnacentral:rRNA from 1 species
UACGUAGGGGGCGAGCGUUGUCCGGAUUUAUUGGGCGUAAAGAGCUCGUAGGCGGCUGUUCGAGUCGGGUGUGAAAUCUCGGAGCUUAACUCCGAAACUGCAUUCGAUACUGCCGUGCUUGAGGACUGGAGAGGAGACUGGAAUUUACGGUGUAGCGGUGAAAUGCGUAGAUAUCGUAAGGAAGACCAGUGGCGAAGGCGGGUCUCUGGACAGUUCCUGACGCUGAGGCACGAAGGCCAGGGGAGCAAACGGG